UACAGCUUAUGGGAGAUCAUUCCCUGAUGUUGUCAAAGGUGUGGAGCAUACUUUACAGAGUCUGAAUUCUGACAAAGAGACGACUCCAACGACUUUCAAAUAUAAGAGAUCGCUUGAGAAUCAGUUAACCUCAACCAUGCUGCAUCUCCUCAGCCUAGUCUCAAGCUGUCAUUGUGAAGGGUUGGCAGAUUUUCUCGUUAAAAAAGCAUCGUUUCUAGAGGAGUGGUUGAGAGGAUUGUGUGUGACAUUGAAGGAGGAAGACAAUGCGUCUCGAUCAAGCGGCACAAGCACUUCGGGUGAGAAGCAGAAGAAAGAGUUGAUAUCUAAAGCUAUACGGUCACUUGCCAGAAGCUUAGGGGCUGGACAGAGCCCUGAAAGGGCUCUAAACUUGCAAGAGUUAGAUAGCAAUGUGAAUUGACUUAGCAAGCUACGUUUUUGGGUUAUCUUGGCCCUGUAAUAUGACUGUACAAUAGUUCCAUGACAAAUUUGUUAUGGUACAUAAAAUUAUUUUUGGCCGAUAUACAUUUGAUCUUUGAAUAUAGGAUAGAAAACAUAUGUAUAUUUGGUGUAUUACAUACACAAUUUUGUAUAAUACUAUGCAUCGUUAGUAACCUUGAA